rnacentral:lncRNA from 10 species
GUGAAAACCCAUCUCUAUAAAAAAUACAGAAAUUAGCUGGGUGCGGUGGCACAUGGCUGUAGUCCCAGCUACUUGGCAGGUAGCUGAAGUGGGAGGAUCACUUGAGCCUGGGAGGUUGAGGCUGCGGUGAGCCAAGAUUGAGCCACUGCACUCCAGCCUGGGUGACAAAGAAAGACCCUGUCGAAGAAGAAGAAGCAGCAGCAGCAGAAAAAGAAGAAGAAGAAGAAGCAGAAGAAGCAGAAGAAGAAGCAGAAGAAGAAGAAGCAGAAGAAGAAGAAGAAGAAACAAAGGGGAGGAUGCAACUUGGAGAGCUACUCCAAGCUCCAGAGCCAGCCACGGAGCACUCCUGGAACUCUUUGCAGGAUCCAUCUCGAAGUUCUGACUCCCAGCAGAGAAACAACACUGGCCCAGCCCCUAGGAGAAAGCCUAACUGCAGUAAAGGAGUCCUGGAGACAGGACAAGAAUGAAGUCAAUGAAGCAUAGCAGGAGUGGAGAUAAAGGUGCUUUCUUGGGCCUCACUGCCCUGGGGUGACUUAUCCAGUUAAUUUUUUUCCCUCCUCCUCUCUCUUUCUCCCCCUUACUCUGCUGACUCUAAAGGCCCUGGGAAGAUGUGUGAUCAUGUUUAUAUGAGACUGUCUUAGGAGAUUGCCAGAAGGCCUAUUUCUCUAGUUGUACUUGCCUUCUUGUGCUCCUGUAAGAAGACACAGAGAUAGAGGAUUAUGUUGCCCUAUGACUCAGAUGGAGGGGUAAGGGGCAGAGGCAGAGGCAGACAAGGUGAGAGGCAUAGCAAAGACCACACAGCAAGCUGCUACCCACAUCCCUAAGAAGUAUCCGAACCCCCAGAAGUUCUAAUAAACAUUAUUCCCAUUGCUGAUAGUUAAUUUUUC